UUGACUGCAAGCCCAAAAAUCUAUGGCAAGCCCAGAAAAUGUCGAAUUAUUGUCAACGGAAGAAGAAGAAAAUGUAUUCAAAUAUCCGGAGAAAUGAUGAAACCUAAAAGAUGAACCUGACAGAGAACGUAGAUAUUGAAGAAAUAAAGAUUCUAUGGAAAUGAGUAUGAGCUGAAUAGGAUAUUUCAUGUACUAAGAACUUGAGAUUCUCACGAAUUUUGUGAAAAGGAUAAGUUUUCAAUGAAAAUGUUUUUUUUCUAAUAACAACAGACACUUUUCAGACGAGGUAAAUAAUUGCGCAAGCAACUGUCAGAGGAAAGUUUGAAAAUUAUAACGAGCGAGGAAAGCGAGAUGUGCCCUCAACUCAAAAUUGUCUACGACUUGGUACGUGGAGAAUCUGUUUAGCCGUUUGUUACAGGUUAGCGUUGCAUAAUAUGUGAAAUUCUCUCGCGAUCACGCGUUUGGCUAAAUACUGGUAAAUGUACUGGGUCGUUGAGAAGUUGCACUUAUUCACUCACCUCUUCGCUUUUUAUAACCUCUUUGAACUCCCGUUUGAUUCGUUGCGCCGCAAUGUUCGCCAUGUCUCCCUAUCACUCCCAGCUACUCAAUACACUGACAUAAUUUACCGCCGAAUGUACGGAUGCCAGUAUUUACCUCGAUUUAAACAGCUCUUUUAAUUCAUGUACUGUUGUUGCAACCUGUAUUUUUUUUACCCAAAUAACCGCUGGCGGUUACAUACAAUUUGUCAUUCGAUCACAGCUAGCGCCACAUUGAUA
rnacentral:lncRNA from 1 species